AAGGAAAAUGCUGUCCUAUCCCAAGGAAUACAAGAGAGUUAUCAAACAUGGCUGUGUCCCUCUUGCCACUUUGAUGCUGAGGGACUCGUCCAGCUGUAAACCCACAGCAUUGUUUGAGAGGCCAUCAAGACCCAAACAGACCUAUAUGCGGUUUCACAAGGCACCCGGUUUUGGAGACAAAGGACAGUGAUGACUCUUGACGAUUCACAGAGUUGGGAUAAGAUGGAGACACUGCUCACUGUCAGCUCCAGAAGGUCUCAAAAACUCCAAUCUAUUACCUGGACAUUGUCAUCAGCCUACAAAGAACCUCAACCUUUGUGACAAAAUCUUGACAGCUGCCAUCUCUUGUCCUCCCUGUCAUCACAAUAAAUCCUGGACCUCACAUUUGUGGACAAGAAGCCUGAGACACCACAGACAUCCAGAUGCUGGACUGGCACAGAAUGGAGGGUCUGAAGGUCAGAAUCGCUGUCAACUCCCCAGAGAUGUGAAAAGCACAACCGUAUUUCACCUCCUUCACAAGAACAGCCCUGGAGAUGUGAAAUCUUAGUAGGUGGUAUCUCUUCUGCUCCAU